UACGGAGGAUGCGAGCGUUAUCCGGAUUUAUUGGGUUUAAAGGGUGCGUAGGCGGAUUUUUAAGUCAGCGGUAAAAUGUCCGGGCUCAACCCGGGCCGGCCGUUGAAACUGGGGAUCUUGAGUGGGCGAGAAGUAUGCGGAAUGCGUGGUGUAGCGGUGAAAUGCAUAGAUAUCGAGAGGAACACUCGUGGCGAAGGCGGGUUCCUGGACAUUAACUGACGCUGAGGCACGAAGGCCAGGGGAGCGAAAGGG
rnacentral:rRNA from 1 species